UCUCCAGAACAUAUAGAUCUGGAGGCCACCCCCUUCUUCUUCCUCCUCUCCGGCAGAUCUCCCCGGCGGUUUUCUUGCAGUUUUCGCUGCUGUUUAUGUGUAUAUAUGUAUGUAGCUAAUGGUUUGUUUUGCGGUGGUGGUGGCCGGAGGCACGGCCAGGUGACAGAAGAGAGUGAGCACACAGCGGGGAGACUGCACCUAUUCCAUCGCGGCGGCGAUGGCGCGCGACGGCGUAUAUGAAUGGUGCAGCUGCUGCUGCGUGCUCACUUCUCUCUCUGUCACCUAUCUCUCUCUCCCAGCCUCCCUGCUGCCACACGCACUCGCCAUUAUCUACCCCUCUCUCAGUCUCUCUCUUGCAGCUAGCACCCUUAUACAGUAACUUUGUGGUUCCGGCGAUCGAUGAGAUAAACCUCUCGCGCGGUGGCGAGAUAAGGGCGGGACCUCGUCCUUAUCUUGUACUCGUCCUGUCAGGGGGCGCCCUACGUGCCCGUCUUCCAUGGGCGCACGGAUCGAGGAGAGGAGGAUUCGACCCCUAUUUUGGAGUAAGGUACAUCCAUCCGGCCGGCUAGCUACUCCUGCACCUGCACGCAUGCUCGUUGCCCUUUCCCUUUGCAGGUCUUGUCUCAGUUUUCCAAGGGUUAAGGGCCUCGGGGCAAGCAGAGACCUGCGCGCGUGACGAAUUGAUUAAUACUACGGCCGCCGAUCCAUCUCGCGUCUUUCCAUGGAUGCUCUCUCCCUCUCUCUCUCUCGUAGCAGAACAAAGUCUUUGCACUGUUUGACUGCAAGUAUGCAUGGAACCGUAUAAACUCCUCUCUUUACUCUCUCCUUUCUCCCGAGAUUGAUCUACUUACUGUAUCUGUCAAUUUCUCUCCAGAUAGAACCGGAUCUAUUCUCGCCUAUCUCCUUUCUCCCGAGAUCUGUGGUCUUUUCUUCCUUCGAUUCAGUUUCUUGUGUGCAGUUCGCUUCGUGUUAAUUCUUGGUACUAUGAUCUCAUGUGUUGAGUUAGGACGGGGGACAGCCAUGGCAGUGUCGCUGUUUCGAGGAAGAAGAUCUGCCUGCCCUGAAGAGGAAAGGAGCAUCAGUGCGAUUGCCUUUCCAGAUCUGGUAACUGCUUCCGGGGGAAUUCUUGCGACCUAGAAAACAAAUGAUCAGCGUCAGAAUUGCACAGCAGAUGCCAGUUCCGAGUUUUUUUUUCUUGGUAGUGUGUGCUUUCACCAUCUUUAUUUCAUGGUGUAGAUCAAAUGAAAAUACUGCCUAACAAAUUAAAACAUUAUUCCUUUUUAGCUAUGUUAUGGUGAAUAUAAGUUGGAACUGGUAGUAGUAUAUGUGACAUACUUUGUAUAAAUCAUUGAGAAUCAUGUUUUUAGCUAUAAUAAACGAUACCUAAAAGCAAAGGUACAGCUAAAUGGAAAACCAUACUAGAGUCAUCUGGAAGUCAAAUAUGUGUUGUAAAUGUUUUAUUAAGCUUUUUGGUUGCACAUGAUCUUAUUUUGGAGGUGUGAUCCACCUGCAUGUGUCUAUGCUUAUAUUUGGAAAUCGUUUUAUAGAUAGGCAUUAUUUGCCAUAAAAUCUUGCCCUACUUGUCUAAAAUAUGCGCAAACUCUUCAUUAGUGAUCUCACCCUAUUCCAUGUACAGAUAUAGUACGUACUACAAAUUUAUUUAUUAAAAUCCCGAACCAAAUUUAAAUUUAUAUGGUCCCCUGAUUCUGAAUUUAUACUAGAUUAACAAUAACUAAAGUUCGCAAAAAGGUAAAUUUAUGGUCCCCUGAUUCUGAAUUUAUACUGUUAAUAAUUACCAGGGACCAACUGUAUGUUUGGUCCAGUUGGUAAUUUUAUGAAUUAUCAACCUCAUGCUAACUAAUUGCACAUGUUUGUCAACACUAAAACGUACAAGUGUGAACUUCGUUACAACAAAUAGUGAAAACAACCACGAUAUAAGCUCCACUAAACAAUCGCCAUCCUCUAGUCUUUAUAUUUGGACAUUAGGGUAUGUACUUAUAUAUAUUGUUUCACAUAUUGAACUGCUCCUUAAUCAUGCCAUAUUUCGCAUAAUGUUCCGUGUUGUAGCCACUAAUGUUGCUAGCUAGACAUUGAUCGAUCUCAUGUUGUUCGAUCAGGUCGCUCACUCAUCUUCCAAGAUAAUCUAAAUAUGCCAUUUUGAACAUUCUCUAGCCGUGUGGCAUGGCCUUGGACCUGAGUGUACAGUGUUCCACAGUCCGUGGAAUCAAGUGGUCUCCUAUCUUUUCCUAAUUAAUGAUAGCGAUCCACAUCCAUUUUCUCGAUUGUUUCUUGAUCAGAGCAACGUGCAGGCUACCAAUGUGCUGCAGUGAAGCGCCAUGUGGAUGCAUGCCUAGAGCCUCCUCAGUUAACAGUUAUCCAUAUGCCCAAUCUGAGCCGGCAAACAACUUCUGUGAACAUGUUCGUGGGCACGUGUUGCCACCGUUUGGACAUGUGGAGAUAAAAUUCUGAACAUCUGAAGGCAUGAACUUGAUGCAGGUUCCACCUUUUGUUGGUCCCUAGAUAUGAACGUGCAUGUGUGUAUACCCCUGAUGAUGAACAUACAUUGUGGUCUGUACGUAAUUUGUGUAAGCUAUCCUCUGAUGAACAUUGUAAGUCUGUAGCUUAUGAAGUAAAGAACAAUGCAUCUUUUGAUUGGUAAUAUUGAUCAUG